AUUGAACGCUGGCGGCAUGCUUUACACAUGCAAGUCGAACGGUAACAGGCCGCAAGGUGCUGACGAGUGGCGAACGGGUGAGUAAUGCAUCGGAACGUGCCCAGUCGUGGGGGAUAACGCAGCGAAAGCUGCGCUAAUACCGCAUACGAUCUCUGGAUGAAAGCGGGGGACCGAAAGGCCUCGCGCGAUUGGAGCGGCCGAUGUCAGAUUAGGUAGUUGGUGGGGUAAAGGCCCACCAAGCCAGCGAUCUGUAGCUGGUCUGAGAGGGAGAGCAGCCACACUGGGACAGAGACACGGCCCAGACUCCUACGGGAGGCAGCAGUGGGGAAUUUUGGACAAUGGGCGCAAGCCUGAUCCAGCAAUGCCGCGUGCAGGAAGAAGGCCUUCGGGUUGUAAACUGAUUUUGUACGGAACGAAACGGUCCUGGUUAAUACCUGGGGCUAAUGACGGUACCGUAAGAAUAAGCACCGGCUAACUACGUGCCAGCCGCCGCGGUAAAAC
rnacentral:rRNA from 1 species